CACCUAUUCAGAGCGGCCGAGAGACCCGGCUCGAUGACGCCGCAGCAACCCCCAGAGCCCUGGAACGGUGCUAACGCCGAGGUUCGAUAGGAA
rnacentral:ncRNA from 2 species